CCGGAUUUAUUGGGUUUAAAGGGUGCGUAGGUGGGCUUAUAAGUCAGCGGUGAAAUCCCCCGGCUCAACCAGGGAAUUGCCGUUGAUACUGUUAGCCUUGAGUACAGUUGAAGUGGGCGGAAUGUAGCAUGUAGCGGUGAAAUGCAUAGAUAUGCUACAGAACACCAAUAGCGAAGGCAGCUCACUAAGUUGUAACUGACACUAAUGCACGAAAGCGUGGGGAUCAAACAGGAUUAGAUACCCUGGUAGUCCACGCUGUAAACGAUGAUCACUCGUUGUUGGCGAUAUACAGUCAGCGACUGAACGAAGGUAUUAAGUGAUCCACCUGGGGAGUACGAUCGCAAGGUUGAAACUCAAAGGAAUUGACGGGGGCCCGCACAAGCGGUGGAGCAUGUGGUUUAAUUCGAUGAUACGCGAGGAACCUUACC
rnacentral:rRNA from 1 species